AGAGUUUGAUCCUGGCUCAGGAUGAACGCUGGCGGCGUGCCUAACACAUGCAAGUCGAGCGAUUCUCUUCGGAGAAGAGCGGCGGACGGGUGAGUAACGCGUGGGUAACCUGCCCUGUACACACGGAUAACAUACCGAAAGGUAUGCUAAUACGAGAUAAUAUGCUUUUAUCGCAUGGUAGAAGUAUCAAAGCUUUUGCGGUACAGGAUGGACCCGCGUCUGAUUAGCUAGUUGGUGAGGUAACGGCUCACCAAGGCGACGAUCAGUAGCCGACCUGAGAGGGUGAUCGGCCACAUUGGAACUGAGACACGGUCCAAACUCCUACGGGAGGCAGCAGUGGGGAAUAUUGCACAAUGGGCGAAAGCCUGAUGCAGCAACGCCGCGUGAGCGAUGAAGGCCUUCGGGUCGUAAAGCUCUGUCCUCAAGGAAGAUAAUGACGGUACUUGAGGAGGAAGCCCCGGCUAACUACGUGCCAGCAGCCGCGGUCAU
rnacentral:rRNA from 1 species